AUUGAACGCUGGCGGCAGGCCUAACACAUGCAAGUCGAGCGGAUGAAGGGAGCUUGCUCCUGGAUUCAGCGGCGGACGGGUGAGUAAUGCCUAGGAAUCUGCCUGGUAGUGGGGGAUAACGUCCGGAAACGGGCGCUAAUACCGCAUACGUCCUGAGGGAGAAAGUGGGGGAUCUUCGGACCUCACGCUAUCAGAUGAGCCUAGGUCGGAUUAGCUAGUUGGUGGGGUAAAGGCCUACCAAGGCGACGAUCCGUAACUGGUCUGAGAGGAUGAUCAGUCACACUGGAACUGAGACACGGUCCAGACUCCUACGGGAGGCAGCAGUGGGGAAUAUUGGACAAUGGGCGAAAGCCUGAUCCAGCCAUGCCGCGUGUGUGAAGAAGGUCUUCGGAUUGUAAAGCACUUUAAGUUGGGAGGAAGGGCAGUAAGUUAAUACAUUGCUGUUUUGACGUUACCAACAGAAUAAGCACCGGCUAACUUCGU
rnacentral:rRNA from 1 species